GCAUGUAUUGAGAGCGUGACCUUUCUCUGUUGUUCCCUUCCCAGCCGCCAGGUUUCUCACGGUUAUGCUGGACCUCACCUCUGGCUCCAGAACUCAGCUCAGCACCCAUAGACUGGAGCCUGACACCGCAGACCAAACUAAAACUCUCCAUCAGGUUUCCUCAGAUAUGAGCAAGCAGCCGCAUGUUCCUGAGGCCACAGCCACCGCCAUUCCCCACAAGAAGAGAAUCUGUCUGUUUGUUGUUUUUUCUCUCGUGGAUUGAGCUUUUCAUGUGUUUUAAAGAAUCACUGUCCAGCAUGUUAUGAAUGUGUUCUGAGAACUUCUGUUGGCUAGUUCUUCAUCAACUUUACACAAGCCGGAAUCUUUGAGGAAGGAGGGGGACCUCACCUGAGAAAAUACCUCAGUUAGAUUGGCCUAUAGACUUCUACUUGUUUUGGCCUCAACAACUGGAUUUCUGGAGAGCAAAUGUUCAACUUGUAAAUCACUGCUGUGGCCAACAGUGUUGGACUAGUGUAGUUACUUGGUUGUUUUCAACAACGCAGGGGAUCUCAUUCACCGACUGAAGGGAACAUUUCUGACUCCUUUCCUUCUGCUAACCCAAAGAUGAAAUGACACCACCUCCUGAAGAGACUCCUGUCCCAUCUCCAAUGGAGACUACCACCCAAGGAGCUGGGGAAUCUCAGAGCCCCAGUGCUUUCAAAUCAACUGAUUCUUCACACCAACAAUCACAGAAGAAAAUUUACAAUGAAUUUAAGGAGUUUGAGACACUGAAAAGAAACAACUCAACGUGGGUGGAGUCUGAGCAACAAAACAAAACAGGAGCAAGGGAGAGAGUCUGUGUUAUUUUUUUAGGGACAAACAGCCAGAUUCAGAGGUCAAAAACUUGCCCUAGGAGCAACCCAUGAGUCACUGUCAUAACUGGGUUAGAACCCAAGACUUCUCAUGCCUAGCCCAAUGACAAGUCAUCAAAGCUGUGGAGGCUUGCCCUCACUGGGUCUGACACAUCGUUCCAUGAUGCCCGUUGUUAAGGAAAUGACCUCCAUCGGGACCCUGCUGUGGCAUCGCUGGGCUGUCGUUAUCAAAGAGAAGGUGAGUCAACAUCUUCAUUUUCACUUGGAGAGAGGAGACAGAAGGCAAACAGGAUGAUGUGUAUCAAGGGAGGUGGUGUCUAGAAGAAGGCACAACGUCCUCUUCUUCGGAAUGGCUAGCAAAACCCAGGAAGUAGAAAAUUUGAAGAGACCAGCUCCCCACACUGGCAAAGAAACCACAAAACAAGAGAAGAGCAAAACUGGAAGAAAGCUUAUAAAAAUGAUUCUUCUAUCUAAAACUGUCUUAUCCCUAGGAAAUUAUGACUUCAAGAAGUCUUUGGAGUUUGGAGUCAAUUUUCUUCAGGGACGUGGCCCCUAGAGGUUAUCCAUGCUCCGGUAGGUGCCCAACACCAUGUACAUGCUACAACAGUAAGUGGACUCUGUAGGCUAAAUAAAAACCGUAUGAGAACGUAUGAAAUUGGAAGGGAAUCAUAGUCGUGGGGGUGGGGAAAUAAUCUGAGGAAAGGGAAUGGGUGUACACUUGCUCAGAAUACGUUAUA